UUAUGUAUUGCACUCCUCACAACUUCUAACAUAUGGUAACACAACUUCUUACCUGGUACAUGCAGGCCUCCAAGGUCGCAAGUUGGGCGGAACAUGCCCAAUUAGCCCGCACCCCGGCAAUCCACUGGACACCCCCCACCCCCGCUCCUCUGUACAGCCACCUGGUUCCACACUACAAAGAUGCAGAGGACACAGGACCACCAGACCACUGUACUGGGUGGACUAAGAAGGACCAGACUUACCCUCUAGCUUGAAAUAACAGCAACAACAACAACAAAAAGCUACUGGCCAACAUGAAAUGAUAUUUCAAGACAUGGGAUACAGAACAACAAAGAACAGUGUUCCUCACAAGGUGGGCAAAACAAGCUCACUACUAUGUUAUCUCUGAAUAACUGGAGAGAAAGCAAGAAAGCCAUUCAAAUAUAUUAGCAUAUCCUCGCCAGGUUUGAUGGAGAUCCUUACUGAGAACUAGGGAGCUGGUAAGUGAGUAAAGGUUUAAAAAUCAG